rnacentral:rRNA from 1 species
UACGUAGGGGCAAGCGUUGUCCGGAUUUAUUGGGCGUAAAGAGCGUGUAGGCGGCCAGGUAGGUCGGUUGUGAAACUGGAGGCUUAACCUUCAGACGUCGACCGAAACCAUCUGGCUAGAGUCCGGAAGAGGAGAGUGGAAUUCCGUGGUGUAGCGGUGAAUGCGCAGAUAUCAGGAAGAACACCGUGGCGAAGCGGCUCUCUGGAACGGUACUGACGCUGAGACGCGAAAGCGUGGGAGCGAACAGG